GAGUAAAUCGUUAGAAGAAGGAAAACAUAAUUGAAAGAUACGCCUAUAAAUUCAAGACGAAGUCGAUAAACCGAUCAAUAAUAUUAAUUGGACCACUUUGAAAGCGAGAAAUUUCCAAUUUCAAGGUAGAAUACUGCAGGAGAAUUCAUCAUUCAAGACGUAUUUACUCCGAAAUAUUACUGAUUCUAUAAAAUAUGAAACGGAACUUGAUCAGCUCAUUUGGACGAAUAUGAUCAGUUCAUUCUGUAGUUUACUAGAACCUGUAGGAAAAAAAUUAGUUUCUUUAGGAAGAUGGGCAUUUUGGUAUAUGUUAUUAUCUCCAGUCUUUUUAAGCUAGAAUCUUUUAGUGAAUCAGGCAAACAUUGAGCAAUCCUAUAUGGAACAACGAAACGAGGAAGAAGAAGAGAUUUCUAGUAAAUCCGAGAGUAAAUCAUGGUUAUCUUUUAUGAUACGCUUCAUGAUGAACUUACUUAGAC